AUGAACGCUAGCGGCAGGCCUAACACAUGCAAGUCGAACGGUAACAGGUGUAGCAAUACAUGCUGACGAGUGGCGCACGGGUGCGUAACACGUAUGCAACUUACCCCUAACUGGAGAAUAGCCUUUAGAAAUGAAGAUUAAUACUCCAUAACAUUACAGAGUGGCAUCACUCUGUUCUUAAAACUCCGGUGGUUAGGGAUAGGCAUGCGGCCUAUUAGUUAGUUGGUGAGGUAAAGGCUCACCAAGACUUCGAUAGGUAGGGGGCCUGAGAGGGUUAUCCCCCACACUGGUACUGAGACACGGACCAGACUCCUACGGGAGGCAGCAGUGAGGAAUAUUGGUCAAUGGACGAAAGUCUGAACCAGCCAUGCCGCGUGCAGGAUGAAGGCCCUAUGGGUUGUAAACUGCUUUUAUAUAGGAAGAAAAACCUCUACGUGUAGAGGGCUGACGGUACUAUAAGAAUAAGGACCGGCUAACUCCGU
rnacentral:rRNA from 1 species